rnacentral:rRNA from 1 species
GGUUGAUCCUGGCGGAGGCCACUGCUAUCGGGGUUCGAUUAAGCCAUGCGAGUCGAGAGGUGCAAGACCUCGGCAUACUGCUCAGUAACACGUGGACAACCUACCCUAAGGAGGGGGAUAACCCCGGAAAACUGGGGAUAAUACCCCAUAGACUACAGAAGCUGGAAUGCUCUGUAAUUGAAAGGUCCGCCGCCUUAGGAUGGGUCUGCGGCUGAUUAGGUUGUUGUUGGGGUAACGGCCCAACAAGCCUGUAAUCAGUACGGGUUGUGGGAGCAAGAACCCGGAGAUGGAUUCUGAGACACGAAUCCAGGCCCUACGGGGCGCAGCAGGCGCGAAAACUUUACAAUGCGGGAAACCGUGAUAAGGGAACCCCGAGUGCCCGUAAAUUCGGGCUGUUAACCUGUUUAAAAAGCAGGUGGAGAAAGGGCCGGGCAAGACCGGUGCCAGCCGCCGCGGUAAUACCGGCGGCUCGAGUGGUGGCCACUAUUACUGGGCUUAAAGCGUCCGUAGCUGGAUUGUUAAGUCUCUUGGGAAAUCUACCGGCUUAACCGAUAGGCGUUCAAGGGAUACUGGCAAUCUAGGGACCGGGAGAGGUGAGAGGUACUCCAGGGGUAGGAGUGAAAUCCUGUAAUCCUUGGGGGACCACCUGUGGCGAAGGCGUCUCACCAGAACGGCUCCGACAGUGAGGGCCGAAAGCUGGGGGAGCAAACCGGAUUAGAUACCCGGGUAGUCCCAGCUGUAAACGAUGCGCGUUAGGUGUAUCGGUGACCACGAGUCACCGAGGUGCCGAAGAGAAAUCGUGAAACGUGCCGCCUGGGAAGUACGGUCGCAAGGCUGAAACUUAAAGGAAUUGGCGGGGGAGCACCACAACGGGUGGAGCCUGCGGUUUAAUCGGACUCAACGCCGGAAAGCUCACCAGAUAAGACAGCGGAAUGAUAGCCGGGCUGAAGACUCUGCUUGACUAGCUGAGAGGAGGUGCAUGGCCGUCGUCAGUUCGUACUGUGAAGCAUCCUGUUAAGUCAGGCAACGAGCGAGACCCA